rnacentral:rRNA from 1 species
ACCCCACUAGGCCACUAUCAGCACACAAAAUUUCCUUUCCUUUUUCCUCUUGUUGCCUUGCCCCGGUGCCUCCCCACCGGCCACUGGUGAGUGGUGACGGCGUCGCGGCAACGCCGUCAGCCAGCCAGGGACCGAAAAGGAAAGCCAAAGUGGAGGAGGAGGGGAAGGAGGGCGAGGUCGGGUGGGUGGGCGAGGAGGGAGCAGCAGCCAGCUACGGCCGAACCCUACACCGCAGCGACCUCACCGCGCUUGCCAUUUUUGGCCGGCUGAUCGGAGGAGGGAGAUUUUUCUGGUUUGGUUGGGUUUUCGAUCGGAUUUGUGGUGGGAGGAGAGGAGAGAAGAGAAGAGGAGCGAAAAUGGUGCGGGGGAAGACGCAGAUGAAGCGGAUAGAGAACCCGACGAGCCGGCAGGUGACCUUCUCCAAGCGCCGCGGCGGCCUGCUGAAGAAGGCCUUCGAGCUCUCCGUCCUCUGCGACGCCGAGGUCGCCCUCGUCGUCUUCUCCCCCCGCGGCAGGCUCUACGAAUUCGCCAGCUCCAGCAUGAAGAACACAAUUGAACGUUAUAAGACAGUCACAAAGGAUAAUAUCAGCAGACAGACGGUACAGCAAGAUAUAGAGAAAAUAAAAGCUGAUGCUGAGGGCUUGUCAAAGAAGCUUGAUGCUCUUGAAGCCUGCAAAAGCAAACUUUUGGGUCAAAAUUUGGAAGAAUGCUCUAUUGAAGAACUGCAAAGCUUGGAGCUCAAAAUUGAAAAAAGCCUUCUAGGCAUCAGGGCAGUGAAGACUCGGCGGUUUGAAGAGCAGCUCUCUACGUUGAGGCAGAAGGAGACAAAGUUGCGGCAGGACAAUGAAGAACUAUAUAGCCAGUGCCAGAAGGAACAGCACCUUGCGUUGGCGGCGCCCCCUGCUCCGGCGACCUUGGCGGCGCCCCCUGCUCCGGCGACCUUGGCGGAGCAGAGCCAGGACGUGGUGGAUGUGGAGACGGAUCUAUUUCUUGGAUUGCCCGGCACCGGCCGCUCCUGAGAUUCAGGCAGGCUGACAACGCUUGAGAAAAAUGCCCAGAAUAAGCUAGCAAUGGAGUUGCAAGCAGCAGCAGCAGCAGGCAAUGGAUGCGGACGGCGUAUAGAUAAAAUAUAAACCCCGUGCAGCGGAAACCUCGAGAGUACAUACAUGAAUUAGUUCUUGUUGCUGAUGUUUCCCCGGGCUCUGGCUGUGCUGUGCCGAUGUCUUGAUGAGGAACGGAGCGUCCGCCAUCGAUCCUCCGGAGAAGAAGGAUGGCGGAGGUGGGCG